rnacentral:lncRNA from 1 species
AUAAAGGCACAUCGAUCAUCCUGCUCUCACCACUCAGCAGCACUGCCACCUGGGGAGCAAGCCUUCAACCCGGAAGCCUUUGGCAGUGUCUUCAUUUAGCUCUGUAAGAGGCAAUGGCCUACCGUAAAUACCAACACCUACAACAGAUCUUGCAGACCAUGAAGCUCUAUGCUUUGACUAGUGUGGCCGAGCAGUGACAGGCAUGGAUGCUCAUCUCCUUAGCACUGUGAUUACACGUGUGAUUCACCUCCACACCAGGCACCAUCUUAUGGUAGUUCUGUGGCACCAAACUUUGGUCCGAGUGCUUGAGAAACAAACUCUUUGCUGACUGAGGUUCCCAGCCCAGACAAGCAUCUUUAUAAGACAAAUACAAAAGGAAGUUUGAGAGGCUGAGAGGGGUGGGGUGGUACCCCACAGUACAUGGUGGGGUCUUCCAGUGUAUGUUGGGAUCAGAGACACAGCCACAUCCCAAAGAUGCCCCUGGCCCUUGAGGCUGGAAAGAGGAGGGCGAGUCCCCACCCACUCCUGGUGUCCCACAGGAUAUGCAGCCCUGCUGGACAUUGGCUUCUGCAUCAGUGAUAAUGAGUUCUUGCUUCUGGCUUUCAGUAGUACGGGCAAGUGGCUUUCAGUUACCUGAAUCCCAUGGUUCCCAAACCUGCCAAUGCUGUGUCCCUUUAGUACAGUUCCCCAUGUUGUGGUGAUCCCCCAACCAUAAAAUUAUUUCGUUGCUACUUCAUAACUGCAGUUUUGCUACUUUUAUGAGUUGUUAUGUAAAUAUCUGAUAUGCAGGAUAUCUGAUAUGCCCCUGCAAGAGGACCAUUUGAUCCCCCAAAGAGUCGUGACCCCCCCAGGUUGAGAACCACUGCCUUAAAGCUGCCAUGUGAAUGGUAGCUCUUCAUCGUAGUCAUAGAUCUGCCAACCCCCGAGCAGUUUCUGUUUCCUUGUCAAGAGGUCGGAUGAAAUCAAAUGAGCCAGGACCAGGUGCCCAGCUCCGGGCGCUUGCUGGCUGUGCAGCCUCUCACAGCUCUUGUCCUCUCUGUCAGCUUUCUUACUUAGGAAAUGAAUGUAACCAUCUUCCCAUAUGAUUUGUAGGUAGGUUUGAGUCAGAUGCUGUUCUUGUGACAGGGACUGAAUAUCUGAAAGAAAGGGAAGGUUUACUUGGGGGGGGGGCUGAGGGGACAGUUCCGUCACAGUUGAGAAGCGGCAAUAGCAAGACUGUGAGGUAGCUAGCCACAUGACACCCAUGGCUGCAAAGUGGCAAGAGAUGGAGAUGCUGGUGUUCAACUCGUUUUCUCCUUUCGAUUCAAUCCAGGAUCCUGUCCCAGGGAAUGGUGCUGCACGCAGCCCAGAGGGUGGGUCU